UACGUAGGCAGCAAGCGUUGUUCGGAAUUACUGGGCGUAAAGAGUGUGUAGGCGGUGCUCCAAGUCUGGUGUGAAAUCUCCCGGCUUAACUGGGAGGGUGCAUUAGAAACUGGAAUGCUAGAGGAUGGGAGAGGUAAGCGGAAUUCCUGGUGUAGCGGUGAAAUGCGUAGAUAUCAGGAGGAACACCUGUGGUGUAGACAGCUUACUGGACCAUUUCUGACGCUGAGACACGAAAGCGUGGGUAGCAAACGGG
rnacentral:rRNA from 1 species